GACGAACCGUCCAAACGUUAUUCGGAAUUACUGGGCUUAAAGGGUGCGUAGGCGGCGCGGAAAGUUGGGUGUGAAAUCCCUCGGCUCAACCGAGGAACUGCGCUCAAUACUGCCGUGCUCGAGGGAGAUAGAGGUGAGCGGAACUUAGGGUGGAGCGGUGAAAUGCGUUGAUAUCCUAAGGAACACCGGUGGCGAAAGCGGCUCACUGGAUCUCUUCUGACGCUGAGGCACGAAAGCUAGGGUAGCAAACGGG
rnacentral:rRNA from 2 species